AUUGAACGCUGGCGGCAUGCUUUACACAUGCAAGUCGAACGGUUACAGGCCGCAAGGUGCUGACGAGUGGCGAACGGGUGAGUAAUGCAUCGGAACGUGCCCAGUCGUGGGGGAUAACGCAGCGAAAGCUGCGCUAAUACCGCAUACGAUCUAUGGAUGAAAGCGGGGGACCGAAAGGCCUCGCGCGAUUGGAGCGGCCGAUGUCAGAUUAGGUAGUUGGUGGGGUAAAGGCUCACCAAGCCGACGAUCUGUAGCUGGUCUGAGAGGACGACCAGCCACACUAGGACUGAGACACGGCCCAGACUCCUACGGGAGGCAGCAGUGGGGAAUGUUGGACAAUGGGCGCAAGCCUGAUCCAGCAAUGCCGCGUGCAGGAAGAAGGCCUUCGGGUUGUAAACUGCUUUUGUACGGAACGAAAAGGCUCUGGUUAAUACCUGGGGCUCAUGACGGUACCGUAAGAAUAAGCACCGGCUAACUACGUGCCAGCCGCCGCCGUAACAC
rnacentral:rRNA from 1 species